UACAGAGGUCCCGAGCGUUGUUCGGAUUCACUGGGCGUAAAGGGUGCGUAGGUGGUGAGGUAAGUCGGAUGUGAAAUCUCCGAGCUCAACUCGGAAAUGGCAUUGGAAACUACCUUGCUUGAGGGUUGGAGGGGGGACUGGAAUACUUGGGUGUAGCAGUGAAAUGCGUAGAUAUCAAGUGGAACACCAGUGGCGAAGGCGAGUCCCUGGACAACUCCUGACACUGAGGCACGAAAGCGUGGGGAGCAAACAGG
rnacentral:rRNA from 1 species